UGAACACAAAUCAAUAGUGUUCAGUCAGAGUAGGAUGGUAAAGCUUCAAAAGUAAUAUCGAUCUGUUCACAACUUCACGCAAACCCAGCGGGGCCCCCAGCAGGUCCCCCACCUACAAGCUUCUCAGUUCCGAGUCCUGGGCGAGGGAGCACCCACACCCGGGCCCUUCCCGCGGGCUGCCCGGAAAGCCCGGAGCGCGGAGCCGGAGCGACCCUUCGCGGCCGGGGACGGGCAUGCUCAGUAGCCCCGCAGGUCCUGUUUCACUGGGAAGCCGGCCGCGGCCCCCACCCCUCCCGCCCGUCUCGGGCGCCAGGAGAAGCGGACAUUUUAGCCUCCUCUGCAAUCCGCUCUCGUUCGUGUCCUUCUCCCCCUCUCGUCCGGUAGGGCCGGGAGUGUAGAUUUCCCCAGGGGCGGGGGUGGGAUCUGAGUAAUCACUCGCCCUCCCCCCUCCCAGGGGCGGGGAGGGGGUGAUUUAGGGAGGACUCCACGGGGCCCAAAGGUUCGCGCCGCCCCGCCGCGGCCCUGCCCCCAGAAGCCCCCAGCUGCCGCGGCGCCCCCGCUCCCCGCCCCCCGCCCCGCGAGGCGCGCGGAGCUGCGCCCGGGCCUGUCCUCGCCUCACCCCCACUCUGCCCCUUCGGUAUUUCUCAAUGACCGGCGCUCCGAGGACACUUCCGACGCGGGAGGGAGGGGUUGUCAUUAGCGCUCGGUUUAUCAGUUCCUUCCGGUCUCCCCGAGCUCAGCCCUGAGCGCGGUGGGGCCGCGCCUCGGGCGAUCUGAUGCCUUUAUUAUGAUGUUUAAGUAAGCAGUCGUGUGUGCCAAGUGAGUUUGUAGCCCAACUGUCUCCCCCAAGCCCCACUGGCAGGAAUGGAAACCCAAGCUCUCGUAAUGCAGGGGAUGAUGCAAACUUAGAAACUGACCCGGCGCCCGGGAAUGAGGCCCCCCCCCCCCCCCCCCGCCCCGGGCGUGCGGCGGCCCAGUCGGGGCAUGAAUGGCUGGAGCCGGAUUGCAUAAUCUGCGCGGUAUAAAUAGCCGGCGGGCGGGCCGCUGACGCUCUCGGUUGUGCCGUUAUCGUGCAAUGCUUCAUCCCCGGUGCCAUUCACUCCCAGGUCGUUUUCUCUUUCAGCUGCAAUGCCAGAAUUUUAAAUAGAGAUGAAAGGCCCCUGCCCCCGCCUCCCUCCUCCCCUGAGUUCAUGUAUUAUGAAUGAAACGCCAGCCUCGCUGCUUCCUGAGGUGCUCCACUUCAGGCUGGAGUGCAAUGGUGCUGUGUCUGCAGUUUGUUCCUGCCAGUGGGUUCGUGGUCUCACUAACUUCAAGAAUGAAGCCGCAGACCUUCACGAGAAAUAUUACAUUGUAUGGAUGUGCCUCUGUUCGCUUAUCCAUUCUUCGGGUGAAGGACAUGUGGGUUGUGCCCAGCGUGGAAUGAAUAAAGUACAUAAACAU